rnacentral:tRNA from 1 species
GCGGCUGUGCCGGAGUGGUCAAACGGGCACGGUUGAGGGCCGUGUAGCUUAGGCUUACGCAGGUUCGAAUCCUGCCAGCCGCA